ACGAACGCUGGCGGCAGGCCUAACACAUGCAAGUCGAGCGCGCCCUUCGGGGUGAGCGGCGGACGGGUGAGUAACGCGUGGGAACGUACCCCUUACUUCGGAAUAGCCUCGGGAAACUGGGAGUAAUACCGAAUGUGCUCUUCGGAGGAAAGAUUUAUCGGUAAGGGAUCGGCCCGCGUUGGAUUAGGUAGUUGGUGGGGUAAUGGCCUACCAAGCCGACGAUCCAUAGCUG
rnacentral:rRNA from 1 species